rnacentral:rRNA from 1 species
GACGAACGCUGGCGGCGUGCUUAACACAUGCAAGUCGAACGAUGAAACCUAGCUUGCUAGGUCGAUUAGUGGCGAACGGGUGAGUAACACGUGACUAACCUGCCCCUUUCUCUGGGAUAACGCUCCGAAAGGAGUGCUAAUACCGGAUACUCACACCGAGGCACAUGCCUUGGUGUGGAAAGUUUUUCGGAAAGGGAUGGAGUCGCGGCCUAUCAGCUUGUUGGGGAGGUAACGGCUCACCAAGGCGACGACGGGUAGCCGGCCUGAGAGGGCGAACGGCCACACUGGGACGGGGACACGGCCCAGACUCCUACGGGAGGCAGCAGUGGGGAAUAUUGCACAAUGGGCGCAAGCCUGAUGCAGCGACGCCGCGUGAGGGAUGAAGGUCUUCGGAUUGUAAACCCCUUUCAGUAGGGACGAAGCGAAAGUGACGGUACCUAAAGAAGAAGCACCGGCUAACUACGUGCCAGCAGCCGCAGUAA